rnacentral:rRNA from 1 species
GUGAGGAAUAUUGCGCAAUGGAGGCAACUCUGACGCAGCCAUGCCGCGUGCAGGAAGAAGGCGCUACGCGUUGUAAACUGCUUUUAACCGGGAAGAAACCCCAGGACGUGUCCUGGGUUGACGGUACCGGAGGAAUAAGCACCGGCUAACUUCGUGCCAGCAGCCGCGGUAAUACGAAGGGUGCAAGCGUUAUCCGGAUUCAUUGGGUUGAAAGGGUUCGUAGGCGGAGCGUUAAGUCAGUGGUGAAAUCCUGCAGCUUAACUGUAGACUUGCCAUUGAUACUGGCGCUCUUGAGUGCGCUUGAAGUGGGCGGAAUGUGCCGUGUAGCGGUGAAAUGCUUAGAUAUGGCACAGAACACCAAUUGCGAAGGCAGCUCACUAAGGCGAUACUGACGCUGAGGCACGAAAGCGUGGGGAUCGAACAGGAUUAGAAACCCGAGUAGUCC